rnacentral:rRNA from 1 species
CGCGGCGACGUGGGUGGUUCGCCGUCUGCGACGUCGCGAGAAGUCCACUAAACCUUAUCAUUUAGAGGAAGGAGAAGUCGUAACAAGGUUUCCGUAGGUGAACCUGCGGAAGGAUCAUUG